CCUACGGGAGGCAGCAGUGAGGAAUAUUGGUCAAUGGACGAGAGUCUGAACCAGCCAAGUAGCGUGAAGGAUGACUGCCCUAUGGGUUGUAAACUUCUUUUAUAAAGGAAUAAAACGAGCCACGUGUGCCUUUUUCCAUAUACUUUAUGAAUAAGGAUCGGCGCACUCCGUGCCAACAGCCGCGGUAAUAACGAGGCUCCGAGCGUUAUCCGGAUUUCUUGGGUUUAAAGGGAGCGUAAAUGGGUUGUUAAGUCAGUUGUGAAAAUUUGCGGCUCAACCGUAAUAUUGCAAUUGAUACUGGCAGUCUUGAGUACAGUUGAGGUAGGCGGAAUUCGUGGUGUAGCGGUGAAAUGCUUAGAUAUCACGAAGAACCCCGAUUGCGAAGGCAGCUUACUAAACUGUGACUGACAUUGAUGCUCGAAAGUGUGGGUAUCAAACAGGAUUAGAUACCCCAGUAGUC
rnacentral:rRNA from 1 species